CAAUAAUUAAACAAUUUUUUUUUGCCCUACAGAAACAAAUUGAAUCUAAAAAACUGCCUUUUACAUAGAACUUCUAACAAAAUGUAUGCAUGAAACUGGAAAUAUUCAGCAAUAUAAAUAAUCAUUACGUCUUAUUUGUAGCUAAAAGGCUCAAACUUGCAGAACCAGCGUAAUGAUCCUUUAAGUCAACGUCACUGCUGCUGUGAAGGUGGGUUAUUCUCGUGGCCUACCUCUCGAUUAAGGCAAUACAAGGCAAUAUGUAUAAAUAAUUUAAUUUUCAAGAGUAAAUAUAUUUAUUUAACAUUAUUUAAUUUAUAUACAGAAUAUAUGACGUUCUUUGUUUUUGUAUUUUAAAGAUUUUAUUUAUUGUUUUUGCUUUCUUGGUUUCUUGGGGAAAAAACUGCAGUUUGAGUUGACAAGCUGUUUAUUUCAUGUGACGUUGACUGCACAGACUGUUUAUUUUUCAUGACUUUAACUGAAUAUUUCUCACUGUGAACAGAGCUCGGUGCCACACCAGCUCCCCAAAGCUUCACAUUGUCAAGACACACUGUGGACUGAUGUCAGCAACUCUUUGUUUGGGACUACAACCGAGCUUCUUUUGAGUGUGUUGAAGGAUAUUGACAUUUCUACCAAAUAAUUCAAAUCGACAAGUAGUUUGGGACUUGUACAGUUUCAGUAGCAUGCAUGUUCACGGCAGAGUUAACUGUAAUGAGGGCAUUUCCACACAAUCGAUGCACAAUAAUCGUAUUGAAGAGAGUGAACUUGAUGACAAGCUGUAGCAAACACUUGACCAAACUCUUUCCGUCAGAGGCUCUGGACUGUUUUGGUUCUAAACAGGGUCGUAGCUAUUUUUUAGAAACGCUAAAUCACAAGUGAAAGUCCCUAAAUCCCAUAAAAAUGAACUAACAGCUCUUUGUUUAUAUGUUCUACUGGUUCAACAUAACACGAGUAGAAAAUGUAAUAGCUGUUAGUUAAUCUUAAAGCAGCGGUUGUUUUCCAGGAAUAGUUUUGGAUGUGCGCCCGUUUGUGUUCUUGCUAAGAGAUGAGAAGGUUAAAUGCUUCUGUUAGUGCUAAAGUUACAUUGCAGUUAGCUUAUAGAUUGAUGCAAGACCAGUAUCUGGCCCGGAGAACCUCCGGGUGAAGUCCAUGCGAAAAAUUUGGCUGUUUGCGUUCACAUAAACAGCCCCUCCUGGUAUUAUCCGGGGAGAUUUCCGUAUGUGUGAAAAGGGUUCAUGAGGAUUUUUUUCUGUCUACAUUCGCACCGUCAUGGUACCUACAGUACUCUGAAGCAGUAGCUAAAAAGGUUCCUCUCUACGGGGUUCUAGGAACUCAAAUAGCUCAAAGUUCCUGCGGUGCGGGAUGAAUAAAAAAAGAGGAGGGUUCCAGCGGUUCCUAGAAAUAUGAAAAAGUUCCUGCGGUGCGAAAACGCCUAAUUUUAAGCCAAACUCACUGUUUCCAGUCUUCAUGCUAAGCUAAGCUAAGCUGAUUAGCUGCUGGCUGUAGCCCACAGAUACGACCGUGAUGAAGCUCUUCUAAUUCAACUCUAUGCUAGAACCAAAACAAAACAUUGAAAUGUACUGAAAUGGAACAGCUGCCAAUACAUUCAACAAGCAACUACGACAACUGUAACAUGCUGCCAGGAUUCAAGUGGAAAAAGAUUGAAUGUUAAUGGAUCGAUAAGGGAUUGAGAAUGUCAGUGUCUUGACUUUUAAAACCAAACUUCCUCCGCUAUAAGUUUGGAUAUAUAUUGGAGACAUACGUAGUACUUUUUGCAUAGAUUUGACCUCUUAUGACAACAUAAUGUAAAAACAUUCCUCACUUGUUUUUUUUGUUUUGUUUUUUUUGCUGUGGACAGAUCUAACUCUUGCGAGAGAGAAUGUUUUUUGGAUGCUUAUCAAUUUAAGACAAACUGUACAGUAGCUCACAUUAGGUACAAAUGCUGAACUAGAAGGUAUAUGAAUAGUAUUGUCGGAGCGAGCUACCUAGCCUAGCCGCCUAGCUCAUUGUCGCACUUUUCCAUGCACAGGCAUUAUUUCACUCUUUCUGAAUUGCUGUUGGGAUGCAAAGGCUCUGAUCCUCGUGUCUUCAUGUUCACUUGACAGAUUUCUAACUCUGCAAGAAAACAAGUGAGCGUAUUUCCCCCCCACACACAUGUUGAGCUUUUCCUUUAACCUGUGCAUCACACGUGUGUUUGUUAACCUUUAAACUCUCAGUAAGAGCGGGGUUAAGGAUUGACACUUGAAUACUGAAAACACUCGCAGCACAAUAACUUUUAACGGACUACAAACAUUCUUGCAUGUCCACACUCUGGUGGUGUUAACCCUGUCUUAUCCCACAGCUGAAUGUGGUGUGAAAACCCUCCUGUUGUCCCCCCGUCACUGGGUAGCGCUCCUCACAGAUUUACGUCAGCAAAACAGGGGUUUAUUCAUAUACACUUAAAACAUUGUAAAGUCCAUUUAUCGUGUAUGUAAAUUUAUGCUGAAUCUUUUCACAUGAGGACUUGUAGGACGUUUGGUUGUUUUCCAGAGGACCGAGAAGCAGAGAUAAAGAGAUUACACUGAAGACGACUGUAGCAGCUCACUCCUCGCUCCGUGUGUGUGUGUGUGUGUGAGCUCACGUUUAAGCUGCUAGCAUGUAAUCUACCUAUUUUUGUUAUCCUGUGUAUGCAGUGACACUGAAACAAUCUGACUGUAAAGAUGAACUAUUUUGCUGAUGAUAUAGUGAUUUAUUUAAAAAAGGUAUAAAGAAGAACAACUGUUGUAUAAGCUAGCACUGAUUUGAACUUUGAACCUGUGAGUUAUUUAAGACUUUUUACUUGGGUCUAAAGAAAAGGGAAUACUCCGUUUAUAGGGGGGGGUUGAUUUCCAAACUGAGAAGCUGGAUUAACAAGAAGGCAAAUAAGCCGUCUACUCCGAUCAUCUAAAAACCCAAAGGUUCAAAGCUGGUGUGUUGUAAAAAAAUAUUUAUUUAAAAAAAAGAUGACUGGGGGAUAUGCACUUUUUAAUCCCUAAAUGAACUGCUAAGGGUAUAAAGGAUGUUUAUUUUCUUACCUGAGGAGAAUCCUGAAGCAAAAUCUAGUUGAGGAUUUUCGUUAUUGCAGCACUUUCUCGCUUUGAACUGGUUAAAAAAAAAAAUGGCGGCUUUGUCUGUGGCCAAACGCUUCAAAAUAUAACAAUCUUGUUACCCUUCUAGCUUUUUGUUUUUGGUGUUCUGGUUGCAGUUGUGUAAAAAUACAGGUUUUUGAAUCUAAGAGACAGACAAACAUGUUCAAGGUUGACUUCUUUAUUGACUAAUUUUCUAAAUUCCAUAACAUAUUCUAGUAAUUUAACGCAGGGACAGUUUCUCACAGACAGAGCAGGAUAUUAUGUAAGGUCAUUAGCUUGAUGCUAACACAUAAUAGAUUUUGCCACACAUUGGCUAACAAGAUUGGCAUUACAUUUGUGCUCAUUCUAAUGUGAGAAGAAAUUAAUUUUACGUCAUGAUAUCAGAAGAUGAGAUUGUUUCCUUAUAGGUGCCAAGCAGGUUUCAGUCUGUAACUCUACAGUUCUGUUAUUGGUCCAAAAUCGGUGGUCUGUGGGCCGCAUGCAUUAAGCCCAAAUGAUCCAAAACCAACACCAGAGGGGGUCUUAUACUGUCAUAUUUUGAAGCGUAGAGCCACUGACUUAGCUGCUGUUUUUGAUGAGUUUUUUUGUGAGUAUAUUUUAUUUAGUUUUUGUGCUUACAUGUUGCAUGUUAUUUAAUUUAUUUGCUUUUUACCAAAUAACCACACAGCAAACCUGGGGCUGUGCACAAUUCAAGCAUGCACAGUGCACAGUGCACAGAGAGGAGAUGUGGGGGCCUUAUGGGGGGCCCAGCAGCUUAUUUAACCCCAGGACCCCCGGACUUGUUGAAUCCGGCCGUGGAGAAAAUACCUGAAACCAACAUUUUAUUCAGCAGGACUACAACAAAGGGAAAAACUGCUAUUGAACGCAAAUAUUCAUGACGUGGACGUAGCCUUACCCUGGAGUGGAAGAAAACUUAGACCUGCCUGCUGGUUCAUUUAGGUCUCAUGUAGCAAUUGGUCUUUUACUGCAGGUUUCAAGUGAAGCCACUGGUUGGCUGUGUGACUACCAGUCUGUGCACUGGGGGAAAUGUGAAAACAAAUGUUCUAAAUAUUAAUGUUGUAUUUAUUGUAAACAUUGUAUUGAUUGUUGCUGUUGAUUUUGUUUCUUUUUGUUAAAAGGCGUGCACCCGAGGGUGUGUGUGUGUGGUUCUGUGAAAACGGGCUUCCAGCUUUUAUUGGGUUAAUCCACCCAGAAACACUGUGUUCAGUUCCCUGAUUGCUGUUUGUGUUAUGUUUGACUGUAAAUACUCUGUACAUUGAGAGAUGACAUGCUGAAAGAGUUGUUGAAAAUAGAUCUAUUUAUAACAAAAGAUGAAAUGUUAUUUCAACUUCCAGUUACACUUUAUGUAAAGGUACAUACUGAUCAUUAAUAGUUGCCUAUAGUUACAUAUAUAAGUAGUAUAAUUGUUGCUAUAUAGGUCAUUAUAAAGCACUUAUUAAUGCCUUAU